CUUUAGGCCUGAGUCUUUGCUUGGUGAAGGUGGAUUUGGGCGUGUUUAUAAGGGUCGGCUGGAAAGCACCGGACAGGUGGUUGCUGUUAAACAGCUUGAUCGCAAUGGUCUUCAAGGGAAUAGGGAGUUCCUGGUGGAGGUUCUGAUGCUUAGCCUACUACAUCAUCCAAAUCUUGUAAAUCUGAUUGGUUAUUGUGCAGAUGGGGACCAACGCCUCCUUGUUUACGAGUUUAUGCCAUUGGGUUCUUUAGAGGAUCAUUUACAUGAUCUUCCACCUGAUAAAGAACCAUUGGACUGGAAUACAAGGAUGAAGAUUGCAGCUGG
rnacentral:misc_RNA from 1 species